GCGCCCAUAGCUCAACUGGUAGAGCAGCUGACUCUUAAUCAGUUUGUUCGGGGUUCGACUCCCUGUGGGCGUACCA
rnacentral:tRNA from 2 species